UUCCGGUUGAUCCUGCCGGAGGUUACUGCUAUCGGAGUUCGAUUAAGCCAUGCGAGUCUAAAGGUUUCUUCGGAAACCUUGGCGGACUGCUCAGUAACACGUGGAUAACCUACCCUUGGGACUGGAAUAACCCCGGGAAACUGGGGAUAAUACCGGAUAGAUCAGGGAUGCUGGAAUGCACCUUGAUCCAAAGCUCCGGCGCCCAAGGAUGGGUCUGCGGCCUAUCAGGUUGUAGUGGGUGUAACGUACCUACUAGCCGACGACGGGUACGGGUUGUGAGAGCAAGAGCCCGGAGAUGGAUUCUGAGACACGAAUCCAGGCCCUACGGGGUGCAGCAGGCGCGAAACCUUUACAAUGUGCGAAAGCAUGAUAAGGGAACUCCGAGUGCCAGUAUCUAAUACUGGCUGUCCUUGUGCCUAAAACGCACAAGAUAGCAAGGGCCGGGUAAGACCGGUGCCAGCCGCCGCGGUAACACCGGCGGCCCGAGUGGUAGCCGCUAUUAUUGGGUCUAAAGGGUCCGUAGCCGGUUCGAUAAGUCCUCUGGGAAAUCUGGUUGCUUAACAAUCAGACUGCCAAGGGAUACUGUCGAACUUGAGACCGGGAGAGGUAAGAGGUACUUCAGGGGUAGGAGUGAAAUCUUGUAAUCCCUGGGGGACCAUCUGUGGCGAAGGCGUCUUACCAGAACGGGUCUGACGGUGAGGGACGAAAGCUGGGGGCGCAAACCGGAUUAGAUACCCGGGUAGUCCCAGCCGUAAACGAUGCUCGCUAUGUGUCAGGUACGGUGUGACCGUAUCUGGUGCCGUAGGGAAGCCGUGAAGCGAGCCACCUGGGGAGUACGGUCGCAAGACUGAAACUUAAAGGAAUUGGCGGGGGAGCACUACAACGGGUGGAGCCUGCGGUUAAAUUGGAGUCAACGCCGGG
rnacentral:rRNA from 1 species